CUCUCUCUCUCACACACACACACACACACACACCACGCUCACUCGCGGUCCUCUCUGCAGGCGGGAGGAUGUCUGCACGGGCGGGAGGAUACGGACAGGGUGUGGGGACCUGGCUCAGAUGCUAGCUGGGCUCCCUCUCAGCCUUCCCUUGCUGCAGAACAGCCGUCCUUAGCAGAAGUGACGCCCUGCUAAAGCCUGUAGCGGGCGCUGGGCAGUGCCCCUUGUGCCGCCUCCUCAGCAGACCCUUCCUCGCCUCCCAUCCUCCAGGAAGUCUCCAGGCUUCCCUCCUUCCACACGCCCACUCAAAACGCCAAUGGGCCUGUGCCCCUUGGGGUCAGCUCUUCUACCAGGCUGGACCCGGUAGGAGCGGGAAACAGUAGUGAGGGAAGCACGCUGGUGGUGCGGCACAGCACAGUGACACUCCUGUGACUUCCUGCCUCUUCCAAGCCGACUCUUAUUACUCUUUUGAUGUGUGCGUGCAUGCAUGUGGGCCUGGAGCCCUGGAGGCCAGAAGAGGGCACCAGAAUCCCUGGAACUACAGAUGCAGAUGGUUGUGAGCCACCACACGGGUGGGUGCUGGGAACCGAACCUAGAUCAGACUCUGGAAGAGCAUCCAGUACUCUCAACCCCGCCCCGUCUCUCCAGCCCUCUCAAGAGAUCUUUAAAUGACUACUUUAGGAAACACGGAUCUUUAGAUUAUCACAGUCUACCCUGGACUAAUAUGCCCCGACGUGUGUGUGUGUGUGUGUGUGUGUGUGUGUGUGUGUGUGUGUGUGUGUGUGUGUGUGUGUCUGUGAGAGAGAGAGAGAGAGAGAGCAUGUGUGUUUGUGUGAGAGAGACUGUGUGUGUGUGUGUGUGUGUGAGAGAGAGAGAGAGUGCAUGUUGCAUGUGUGUUUGUGUGAGAGAGACUGUGUGUGUGUGUGUGUGCGCGCGCACUCGCGCGUGUGGGUGCGUGAGUGUGUGUGCGCGCUCGGUGGAUAGGUAAUGCAGAAAAACAUGCUUCCAUUUGCUUCCUAGCAGCCUCUUCCCAGUAGUGUUGUAUUUUAUCUCUAUACAUUACACUUUCUAAGUUAC
rnacentral:lncRNA from 1 species